GACGAACGCUGGCGGCGUGCUUAACACAUGCAAGUCGAACGGAAAGGCCUGCAGCUUGCUGCGGGUACUCGAGUGGCGAACGGGUGAGUAACACGUGGGUGAUCUGCCUUGCACUUCGGGAUAAGCUUGGGAAACUGGGUCUAAUACCGGAUAGGACAGCUGUUUAGUGUCAGUUGUGGAAAGUUUUUUCGGUGCAAGAUGAGCUCGCGGCCUAUCAGCUUGUUGGUGGGGUAAUGGCCUGCCAAGGCGUCGACGGGUAGCCGGCCUGAGAGGGUGUACGGCCACAUUGGGACUGAGGUACGGCCCAGACUCCUACGGGAGGCAGCAGUGGGGAAUAUUGCACAAUGGGCGGAAGCCUGAUGCAGCGACGCCGCGUGGGGGAUGAAGGCCUUCGGGUUGUAAACUCCUUUCGACAGGGACGAAGCUUUUGUGACGGUACCUGUAUAAGAGGCACCGGCUAACUACGUG
rnacentral:rRNA from 1 species